GACAGAGGGGGCAAGCGUUGCUCGGAAUUACUGGGCGUAAAGGGCGCGUAGGCGGUCUGCUAAGUUGGAUGUGAAACUCUGGGCUUAACCCAGAGCCUGCAUUCAAAACUGACAGGGCUAGAGUUCUGGAGGGGGAAGCGGAAUUCCUGGUGUAGCGGUGAAAUGCGUAGAUAUCAGGAGGAACACCGGUGGCGAAGGCGGCUUCCUGGACAGAAACUGACGCUGAGGCGCGAAAGCCUAGGGGAGCAAAGCAGG
rnacentral:rRNA from 1 species